rnacentral:miRNA from 1 species
GUCUGGAAAUAUCUGAUCUAAUC